rnacentral:rRNA from 1 species
CAGUCGAACGGGAAUUACUUUAUUGAAACUUCGGUCGAUUUAAUUUAAUUCUAGUGGCGGACGGGUGAGUAACGCGUGGGUAACCUGCCUUAUACAGGGGGAUAACAGUCAGAAAUGGCUGCUAAUACCGCAUAAGCGCACAGAGCUGCAUGGCUCAGUGUGAAAAACUCCGGUGGUAUAAGAUGGACCCGCGUUGGAUUAGCUGGUUGGUGGGGUAACGGCCCACCAAGGCGACGAUCCAUAGCCGGCCUGAGAGGGUGAACGGCCACAUUGGGACUGAGACACGGCCCAGACUCCUACGGGAGGCAGCAGUGGGGAAUAUUGCACAAUGGGGGAAACCCUGAUGCAGCGACGCCGCGUGAAGGAAGAAGUAUCUCGGUAUGUAAACUUCUAUCAGCAGGGAAGAUAGUGACGGUACCUGACUAAGAAGCCCCGGCUAACUACGUGCCAGCAGCCGCGGUAAUACGUAGGGGGCAAGCGUUAUCCGGAUUUACUGGGUGUAAAGGGAGCGUAGACGGUGUGGCAAGUCUGAUGUGAAAGGCAUGGGCUCAACCUGUGGACUGCAUUGGAAACUGUCAUACUUGAGUGCCGGAGGGGUAAGCGGAAUUCCUAGUGUAGCGGUGAAAUGCGUAGAUAUUAGGAGGAACACCAGUGGCGAAGGCGGCUUACUGGACGGUAACUGACGUUGAGGCUCGAAAGCGUGGGGA